rnacentral:sRNA from 1 species
AAAACUAUUAACUAAAUCCGCACAUAUACCGUCACAUGGGUCAGGGUGCUCCCAACGGAUACUUGAAUCCGAACCGGAGUUGAUCGAUGGGGUAUAUGGAGGCCUAAC